rnacentral:rRNA from 1 species
CAGUCGCCGCGGGAAAACGAAGGGUGCAAGCGUUACUCGGAAUUACUGGGCGUAAAGCGUGCGUAGGUGGUGGUUUAAGUCCGUUGUGAAAGCCCUGGGCUCAACCUGGGAAUUGCAGUGGAUACUGGAUCACUAGAGUGUGGUAGAGGAUAGUGGAAUCUCCGGUGUAGCAGUGAAAUGCGUAGAGAUCGGAAGGAACAUCUGUGGCGAAGGCGACUAUCUGGGCCAACACUGACACUGAGGCACGAAAGCGUGGGGAGCAAACAGGAUUAGAUACCCGUGUAGUCCCUGUCUCUUAUAC